rnacentral:lncRNA from 1 species
UAAAGCUUCAUCUGUCUCAAAACCAGAGUGGAAGUUGAACAGUGCCUUGCUCUGGGAAGCUCCGGGCAUUCCUAGAUGAUGGCUGCAUCUUACAUGCUGCUGAAGUCUGACCUAAAGGAGACUGAAAGAUAAGAUGAGAAUGAAUGAAAGAAGCCCAACUGUAUUAGUCAUUUAUUGCUGCCUAUCAAAUUUACCCAAAACUUAGCAGCUUAAAACAAACAAGAUUUAUUACCUCACACACUAUCUGACGGUCAGGAAUCGAAGAGCAGUGUGGCUGGGUGGUCCCGGCUCCGUGUUUCUCACAAAGUUGCAGUCAGACGUCAGCUGAGGCUACAGUCAUCUCGAGUCUCUACUGGGGCUCAUGGAUUCAAUGCCAAGUUUACUCGCAUGACUGUUGGCUAGAGGCCUCAGUUCUUUGCCAUGUGGCUCUCUUUACAGGGCUACCUGGUUUCUGCCUGAGCAGCAAGUGAUGAAGGAGAGUGAGCGUAUGAGAGAGUAAGAGAGUGAGCCCAAUCGUGGACUGACCACACAAUUGACCCUGGUUUACUGUGAGAAAGGACACAGACUGUGAACACCAGGAGCUUGACUACAUUUCCCAGCGUCCUUUGGAGUGAGACUACAUCUCCCAGCAUCCUGGCAGUUAGACAAUUUUCUAGUCUCCUUUGCAGGGAUCUUGGAAGCCCCAUGUUGAAGGUGGCAGAGCAACAAAAAUUGAGGAAACCCUGAAUCCCUGAAUUACUAUUUGGAGAUGACCACCCACUAAUUCGGAACACUCAUUAUUGGGCUUUAGGAGAAUGAGAAGUUCUAUCAUGUUUGAGACUCCGUACAUCUUUGGAUUUGUUUUAACAGCUAGUUUUACCCUGGCUAACAUGGCAAUUGACAGCCUCUGAGAGGAGAUUUGGAGAAUCUGCUUUUUUAACAAGUACUCCAGGGGAGUUUGAGAAUCACUGCUGAAAGCCAAGGGGAGCCAGCCACCCAAGGAUUUAACGCUGACCAAGGAACACCACGCUAUUUGCAUUUUAGAAUGACAGCAAGGGAGCAGAACUCUGCCCCCUUCUUGUCUGCCAAGGAGAACAAUCUACUGACUCAAAAGAAAAAGAAAACUUUGGUAAGAGAAAAUUGAAGCUCUAGAUGAGUGAAAAGAUUCUAACAGCACCAAGCUGCCGUAAAUGAGCUCAAGUCUCCUGGCCAGGACAAAUUACACUCCAGGGAGUAGAGAGAACUCGCCUCUGAAGCUGUAAAGCCUCUGCUGAUAAUCUUUACAGAACAUGGAGACUGUGAAAGAAAUUGGAACGCUAGAAAUGGCAAAAUAUAGCUCUGAUUAGUAAAGAGGGGGAAAGCUUCUGCAAACUACAAAAGUGGGGCUAUCCUAUCCAUCCUCAUUAAAUUCCCUGAUCAGACUACUUAAGGCUGAGCUGUGAGUACGUGAAAAAUGGAGCAGAAUCCUCUAGAAGCCUGUGUGGGUUCUUUAAGAGCAAGCCACGACAAGGCAUUGGACCAGGAAGGAGAGAAAUGGGGCCUUUUCUGGCCAGGUGCUCUCACUGACUCCGGGUACAAGGAAGAAUACAAUAUGAUUCCUGUCCUCAAGUCCACAUGCCUGUGGAUACUAACCUUUACACAGACAACAUAAGAACUGAACAGGGUGGUAUUUAAUUAAGAUAAAAGAAGUAGCAAGAGUAACAAGUAAUAAGUGAGAAUAAGUAUUAAACUAUGUACUGACUUUGGGAGUACCCAGGCUCCAUUUUUAUGCCAAAUCUCUGGUGUUAAGGCAUAAAAGAUACUGUGUUUAGAACAUGUCCUGAAAGGGAACAUGUUCUAAAAAAAACACAAAACAGCAGAAAGGAUAACGUUCUGCUGCUGACUUGUGUUCAUUGUUCAACUUGUGGGCCACUAGGACUCUUGAAUCUUCUUUCUCCAUAUUUGCAUCUAAUUAGCAUUUGUGUAGUUGCUAUCUUUCCCUGAAAUGUUUCUUUCUCAACACUCAGUAUUGCCGUAACAAGAUGGGGAAACAGAGGAAAUAAUUUUUUUAAAUGUUCAAUUGAUUUCCUUUUUUAAAAAGACACCUUUAUUGAAUUAUUACAUAUCAUAAAAUUCAUCUGUUUUAUGUGUGCAACUCGAUGAAUUUUAGUAAAUUUACAGAGGUGUGCAGCCAUCACAACCAGCUUUAAAACAUUUCCAUUACCAGACAGAAUAAUUUAAGGGCACAAUCCAAUGAAUGUGGGCAUAUUUAACCUACUUGAGCAUGCAUUUCUGAAACUGUUGUACUUAAGAAAAUCUGUCAGCAAAUUUUGAGUUGCUUCAUGAUAUACUUUUGCAAGACAAAGCAAAAUGUGCAGAAGGAAGGAUCUGUGUGCCUGAAAUCCUAAGAAACCAUUAUCUAUUUUGCAGAUCACUUUAUUAAUAAACAGAUUAUUACAAAAGUAAUUAUCUUAGAGAUGACAAUGCCAUUAGCUAACCCAUGUUGUUGUCUAUUGGGACAUAUAAAAAGUCUUUUUAAUUUGCUCUUCAAAAAAUCACUUACACCCACAACACUACUUCAGUCAACAAAGUAAAUCUAGGUAUGGGAAAACCAUGGCAAAAACUUUUUGCCAUGCUUUACCUUUUUGUCUUUAAAAUUUAAUGUAUUCAUUUUCGUUCGGAUUCUCUUUUCUCUCUUGAUUCACUGGAGGAAGGAUUUCUCUGGUGAAAAGUACCCCAAUCUGAUGCCUUUGCAAAAGCAGUCACCCCUCUGGCAUGAAAGGCACCAUUCAAUCAUCCAAACUCUUAGAGGUGAAGGGUACACUGAAUAAUGAGUGCUAAGAUGGUGUCUAUUGUAUUAUAAAUACCCAUUUUAGAAAACCCAAUAGUCAGAAAGUU